rnacentral:miRNA from 1 species
UUUUGGUAUAAGUCUAUCCCAUGCAAUAUUUGGGACAUACUUAUACUAAAAAUUGUUGUUUAUUUGAAACUCAGAUUUUACU